CCCGCAAGGGGAGCGGCAGACGGGUGAGUAACGCGUGGGAAUCUACCGUGCCUACGGAAUAGCUCCGGGAAACUGGAAUUAAUACCGUAUACGCCCUACGGGGGAAAGAUUUAUCGGGGUAUGAUGAGCCCGCGUUGGAUUAGCUAGUUGGUGGGGUAAAGGCCUACCAAGGCGACGAUCCAUAGCUGGUCUGAGAGGAUGAUCAGCCACAUUGGGACUGAGACACGGCCCAAACUCCUACGGGAGGCAGCAGUGGGGAAUAUUGGACAAUGGGCGCAAGCCUGAUCCAGCCAUGCCGCGUGAGUGAUGAAGGUCUUAGGAUUGUAAAGCUCUUUCACCGGAGAAGAUAAUGACGGUAUCCGGAGAAGAAGCCCCGGCUAACUUCGUGCCAGCAGCCGCGGUAAUACGAAGGGGGCUAGCGUUGUUCGGAAUUACUGGGCGUAAAGCGCACGUAGGCGGAUAUUUAAGUCAGGGGUGAAAUCCCAGAGCUCAACUCUGGAACUGCCUUUGAUACUGGGUAUCUUGAGUAUGGAAGAGGUGAGUGGAAUUCCGAGUGUAGAGGUGAAAUUCGUAGAUAUUCGGAGGAACACCAGUGGCGAAGGCGGCUCACUGGUCCAUUA
rnacentral:rRNA from 1 species